rnacentral:tRNA from 1 species
UCCCUGGUGGCUCAAAUGGUAAAGCGUCUGCCUACAAUGCAGGAGACCCAGGUUUGAUCCCUGGGUUGGGAA